rnacentral:rRNA from 1 species
AGCGAACGCUGGCGGCAUGCCUAACACAUGCAAGUCGCACGGGGGGGCUUCGGCCUCCCAGUGGCGGACGGGUGAGGAACGCGUAGGGACCUGUCGAGGGGUGGGGGAUAACCGCGGGAAACUGCGGCUAAUACCGCAUGACGCCGCGGCGUGACAGCCGGGGCCAAAGGCGAAAGCCGCCCGCCGAGGGGCCUGCGUCCGAUUAGCUGGUUGGCGGGGUAGCGGCCCACCAAGGCGUCGAUCGGUAGCUGGUCCGAGAGGGUGAUCAGCCACACCGGGACUGAGACACGGCCCGGACUCCUACGGGAGGCAGCAGUGGGGAAUAUUGGACAAUGGGCGCAAGCCUGAUCCAGCAAUGCCGCGUGGGUGAAGAAGGUCUUCGGAUUGUAAAGCCCUUUCGGCGGGGACGAUGGUGACGGUACCCGCAGAAGAAGCCCCGGCUAACUUCGUG